rnacentral:rRNA from 1 species
UACGUAGGGAGCGAGCGUUGUCCGGAUUAUUGGGCGUAAAGGGCGCGUAGGCGGUUAAGUAAGUCGGGUGUUAAAUCUCCAAGCUCAACUUGGAGCUGCCACUCGAAACUGCUUUGACUUGAGUCUGGUAGGGGAACACGGAAUACCUGGUGUAGCGGUGAAAUGCUUAGAUAUCAGGUGGAACACCAGUGGCGAAGGCGGUGUUCUGGGCCAGUACUGACGCUGAUGCGCGAAAGCGUGGGGAGCGAACAGG